UAGUUAUCAUAGUGAUCAAAAGGAGGAAAGGUGAAAAAUAUUAAAGUGAUUAGGUACUAAGUGUCUUCACAAACAUAUGUACUUCAAUUUCUAACAAACUGAUAAUUAAGUCCUGAUCAUAAAGUUGCAAUUUUAGACGACAGCCCUACGAUUGGAAUUCAAGUUAAAAGUUGCUACCAAAUAAAUGUGAUGUCGACAUGCACGAAAUGGUCCCUAGCUAGUAGCUAGACUACACACAGAAUCGAUGACAGAUAAAACAAUCUCAGUUUAACACAAAAAAAAGGUUAGUAAUAACAUUAUAAAAUCCUGGUGAAUGGAAAGACGUGAGAAGCCUUUGGAUGCCUUUGGUGCAUGCCUUCAGUUUGGGACCGCAAUUUUUUUUUCCAUACAUGUAUUGAUCAAGAGAAACGAUGACAUUUCUUCUCUAGCUAACUUUUAGAUCUAAUAUUUGGACGCACAUGACAUGUACACACACCUUAAUUAUCCAUGUGACCGCCACACAAGCACGCAUCUUUGGUACGCAUGUAUGGCCAUUAACUUUUGGAUCUAUGCUUUUUCGCAAAAAAAAAACUUUUGGAUCUAUGCUAGAAUUAUUUGUUUCAACUUGAGCUGAAAUUAAGUAGGGAGUAAGUAGGAAAAUAUAAAUCGUUUAACACAUUUUUUUUGAGGCAAACUGGUCGAUAGCCAUGCAUAUUUUUUGAAAGGAAGGCCUAGGCCUGGUGUUUGACGCCAUGAUAAACAAGAAAUGUGAGAGAUAUCAAACGAAACAAUCAAACUAACAAUACACAAGAAGCGCCGCUUGAUCCUCGAGGUCCGAGGGGGUUGAUGGAGCCAUGCAUAUAUGAAUGUACCCUUGGUGUCCUUGUAUUCCAAUCAUCUCUAGUAGUUUGUUGCAGCAGCGAUUUUCACAGUACUAGUAGUGCCCAGUUCCCACUUCCCAUCACAGUACCGUCCAGAAAAAAUAAAUAAUGGAAGAAAAAAAAUCAAGUGAAGGAAAAAAAUGAGAGAGAGAAGGGAGCAAUUCUGAGUUUCUCUCCCACCGCUUGGCCUAUAUAUCCUCAGUCGCUUGCUGCUCUCUUCGACCUCCUUCCCCGCCCCCAAUUAUUCCCACCUCUCUCUCCCCCUCUCUCCCUCUCUCUCGCCAAAAUGCCAGAGUUAUUCCCCUUUCUCUUUGACGGGUAGAUCAAGGUGCACCACGAGCUGGUGAAGCUGCCAGCAUGAUCUGAUGACCUAACUCAUGGAUCAGAGUCCAUGUCAAUCAGGUCAUGCUGGAGUUUCAUCUGCUGGUCGGAGCACCACGAAAACCCUAGAAUCCCAUGAAAUCUAUCCGUGGGCCAUCUACCCUUCCUGCAGGUUGUCCUCAAGGGGCACAAAGUAAUAUUUUCCUCAGCAAUUGAAGAUUUGGAUGCAGAAGAAGCAGCAUAUAAAUUUCAUCUGGAAGGUGGAAAAAAGUUGUUGCGUGAUCUGUAUGACUGUAUCUGAGCAGCAUUAUUCUUCUUGAUCUCACGCAUUGAUUGAUCCUUGUUGCACCUCUAUUAUUUCCUUUAUGGAUUUGUCGUGGUAUUAUCCACUUGUAAAUGCGAUGUAUGGGCGUGUUAAUACCACUGUCUCUAACUUCUUGCAUAGUAGUAUCGGGAACAUGAUGCUGAAUUACAAAUUGUUUUCAUCAGCUGUGAUUAGGAUCGUUCAUUUUGGUCUUGUAAGUAAUGGCGCUGAAUUAACAAAUACACCAAGUAGUGAUAAUUUAAACGAAA